GACGAACGCUUGCGGCGUGCUUAACACAUGCAAGUCGAACGGAAAGGCCCUGCUUUUGUGGGGUGCUCGAGUGGCGAACGGGUGAGUAACACGUGAGUAACCUGCCCUUGACUUUGGGAUAACUUCAGGAAACUGGGGCUAAUACCGGAUAGGAGCUCCUGCUGCAUGGUGGGGGUUGGAAAGUUUCGGCGGUUGGGGAUGGACUCGCGGCUUAUCAGCUUGUUGGUGGGGUAGUGGCUUACCAAGGCUUUGACGGGUAGCCGGCCUGAGAGGGUGACCGGCCACAUUGGGACUGAGAUACGGCCCAGACUCCUACGGGAGGCAGCAGUGGGGAAUAUUGCACGAUGGGCGGAAGCCUGAUGCAGCAACGCCGCGUGCGGGAUGACGGCCUUCGGGUUGUAAACCGCUUUCGCCUGUGACGAAGCGUGAGUGACGGUAAUGGGUAAAGAAGCACCGGCUAACUACGUGCCAGCAGCCGCGGUGAUACGUAGGGUGCGAGCGUUGUCCGGAUUUAUUGGGCGUAAAGGGCUCGUAGGUGGUUGAUCGCGUCGGAAGUGUAAUCUUGGGGCUUAACCCUGAGCGUGCUUUCGAUACGGGUUGACUUGAGGAAGGUAGGGGAGAAUGGAAUUCCUGGUGGAGCGGUGGAAUGCGCAGAUAUCAGGAGGAACACCAGUGGCGAAGGCGGUUCUCUGGGCCUUUCCUGACGCUGAGGAGCGAAAGCGUGGGGAGCGAACAGGCUUAGAUACCCUGGUAGUCCACGCUGUAAACGGUGGGUACUAGGUGUGGGGUCCAUUCCACGGGUUCCGUGCCGUAGCUAACGCUUUAAGUACCCCGCCUGGGGAGUACGGCCGCAAGGCUAAAACUCAAAGGAAUUGACGGGGCCCCGCACAAGCGGCGGAGCAUGCGGAUUAAUUCGAUGCAACGCGUAGAACCUUACCUGGGUUUGACAUGGAUCGGGAGUGCUCAGAGAUGGGUGUGCCUCUUUUGGGGUCGGUUCACAGGUGGUGCAUGGCUGUCGUCAGCUCGUGUCGUGAGAUGUUGGGUUAAGUCCCGCAACGAGCGCAACCCUUGUUCACUGUUGCCAGCACGUUAUGGUGGGGACUCAGUGGAGACCGCCGGGGUCAACUCGGAGGAAGGUGGGGAUGACGUCAAGUCAUCAUGCCCCUUAUGUCCAGGGCUUCACGCAUGCUACAAUGGCUGGUACAGAGAGUGGCGAGCCUGUGAGGGUGAGCGAAUCUCGGAAAGCCGGUCUCAGUUCGGAUUGGGGUCUGCAACUCGACCUCAUGAAGUCGGAGUCGCUAGUAAUCGCAGAUCAGCAACGCUGCGGUGAAUACGUUCCCGGG
rnacentral:rRNA from 1 species